rnacentral:rRNA from 1 species
GAUGAACGCUGGCGGCGUGCCUAAUACAUGCAAGUCGAGCGAACAGACGAGGAGCUUGCUCCUCUGACGUUAGCGGCGGACGGGUGAGUAACACGUGGAUAACCUACCUAUAAGACUGGGAUAACUUCGGGAAACCGGAGCUAAUACCGGAUAAUAUAUUGAACCGCAUGGUUCAAUAGUGAAAGACGGUUUUGCUGUCACUUAUAGAUGGAUCCGCGCCGCAUUAGCUAGUUGGUAAGGUAACGGCUUACCAAGGCAACGAUGCGUAGCCGACCUGAGAGGGUGAUCGCCCACAUGGGACCUGAGAACGGGUCAGACUCCUACGGGAGGCAGCAGUAGGGAAUCUUCCGCAAUGGGCGAAAGCCUGACGGAGCAACGCCGCGUGAGUGAUGAAGGUCUUCGGAUCGUAAAACUCUGUUAUUAGGGAAGAACAAAUGUGUAAGUAACUAUGCACGUCUUGACGGUACCUAAUCAGAAAGCCACGGCUAACUACGUG